rnacentral:rRNA from 1 species
UAGCGGAGGAAAGAAACCAACAGGGAUUGCCCUAGUAACGGCGAGUGAAGCGGCAACAGCUCAAAUUUGAAAUCUGGCUUCGGCCCGAGUUGUAAUUUGCAGAGGAAGCUUUGGGCGCGGCACCGACCGAGUCCCCUGGAACGGGGCGCCAUAGAGGGUGAGAGCCCCGUAUGGUCGGACGCCUAGCCUGUGUAAAGCUCCUUCGACGAGUCGAGUAGUUUGGGAAUGCUGCUCAAAAUGGGAGGUAAAUUUCUUCUAAAGCUAAAUACCGGCCAGAGACCGAUAGCGCACAAGUAGAGUGAUCGAAAGAUGAAAAGCACUUUGAAAAGAGGGUUAAAUAGCACGUGAAAUUGUUGAAAGGGAAGCGCUUGUGACCAGACUUGCGCCCGGCUGAUCAUCCGGUGUUCUCACCGGUGCACUCUGCCGGGCUCAGGCCAGCAUCGGUUCUCGCGGGGGGAUAAAGGCCCAGGGAACGUGGCUCCUCCGGGAGUGUUAUAGCCCUGGGUGCAAUGCCCUCGCGGGGACCGAGGUUCGCGCAUCUGCAAGGAUGCUGGCGUAAUGGUCAUCAGCGACCCGUCUUGAAACACGGACCAAGGAGUCAAGGUUUUGCGCGAGUGUUUGGGUGUAAAACCCGCACGCGUAAUGAAAGUGAACGUAGGUGAGAGCUUCGGCGCAUCAUCGACCGAUCCUGAUGUUUUCGGAUGGAUUUGAGUAGGAGCGUUAAGCCUUGGACCCGAAAGAUGGUGAACUAUGCUUGGAUAGGGUGAAGCCAGAGGAAACUCUGGUGGAGGCUCGCAGCGGUUCUGACGUGCAAAUCGAUCGUCAAAUCUGAGCAUGGGGGCGAAAGACUAAUCGAA